rnacentral:tRNA from 1 species
GCUGUAGUUCAGUUGGUUAGAGCGUCAGAUUGUGGUUCUGAAUGUCGUGGGUUCGAGUCCC